CCCUUCAGUUUAGCCCUCUAUCGAUUCUCCUUCACACACGACCUGCUUUCUCACAACUCGCUUCGACCGCCGAUUCUGCUUGUUGACAUUCCACCUGCGUCUGCAGCUAACGAAAACAUCGAUUACUCCGCGGUCAUCUUUCUCACUAAGGCCUGGAUGGGGGAUUGACUUUGAGGUUGCGCCAGGAGAACUGGGAGAAACAGAGCUGCCUAAUCCUUACAAACUUGAAAAUAGGAGUUUUAUGUGCAAAUUUAAUAUGGCUGGUUGAUAGCAAAUAAUCGGUAAUGGUGUCUGUUAGCUUAAAUCAUCGCUUCUGGAAUGGCAUUUAGCGGUAAGCUUCUUUGCCGAUGUUUACUAAUGUAGUGUGUUGAUGACUUGGAAGUUCAGUUUAAUUUAUCUUGAAGGUGAAAUAACUUAAAACUUUACCUUUAUAUACACACAAAAUUCAUUUAUAAGAAGGCUUGCGGUUUUUGUACCAUAUUUGUUGCUUUCCCUUUAAUGAUGUGCAUAGAAGAGUGAAAUGACGAUCCUUUAGUUGCAGGACAUGUUAUUUUUUU